UACGAAGGUGGCAAGCGUUGUUCGGAUUUACUGGGCGUACAGGGAGCGUAGGCGGUUGGAUAAGCCCUCCGUGAAAUCUCCAGGCUUAACCUGGAAGGUGCAGAGGGGACUGUUCAGCUAGAGGAUGGGAGAGGAGCGCGGAAUUCCCGGUGUAGCGGUGAAAUGCGUAGAGAUCGGGAGGAAGGCCGGUGGCGAAGGCGGCGCUCUGGAACAUUUCUGACGCUGAGGCUCGAAAGCGUGGGGAGCAAACAGG
rnacentral:rRNA from 1 species